rnacentral:rRNA from 1 species
UCUUUUAGUAAAUUAUUAUAAGUCUGGUCUGCUCACUGAAAAAUUUAAAGAGCCGCAGUAUCAUGACUGUGCAAAGGUAGCAUAAUCAAUAGUCUUUUAAUUGAAGACUUGUAUGAAAGAUUGAAUGAAAAAAUAGUUUUCUUUGUUUAAUAUGUAGAAUUUAUAAUUUAAGUGAAAAUUCUUAAAUUAUUUAAAAAGACGAGAAGACCCUAUAGAUUUUAAUUAAUUUAUAAUUAAAUAAAUUUUUAUUAUAGAAAAUUAAUUUGGUUGGGGUGACGGUGUAAUAUACAGAACUUAAUUUUAAUAAACCAUGAAUUAAUGAAUUUUUAGAUUAAAAUUUUUUGGAUAAAGAUUAAAUUACCUUAGGGAUAACAGCGUAAUUUUAUUUAUGAGUUCCUAUCUAUAAUAAAGCUUACGACCUCGAUGUUGAAUUAAGAUAAAAAAGUGGAGCAGUUCCUACUUUUACUAGUCUGUUCGACUAUUAAAUUC